GAUUUGAACCCAUGACCUCCAACUCCAAAGCCUGGGCUCUUUCCACUUAACCAUGCCGCUUUUUUGAUGCCUGCAUAUUCUCCUGAGGCACUCUUUCCCCAUUUUCCUCCCAACCUCACCUGGCUUAGGCCUGGCCGCUUUGCUGUGCUGAUGGGAUUCCAUCCCAAACUGCUGUGGCUGAAACCCACUUUAAUAAGCGACAUCAGCAUCGGCCCAGUGAGUCUCCGUGGCCAGCACCAAGCCCAGAUCGGUGAUGGACGCAUUAAAUAAAGCAAGGUAGUGGUGCUCAGAAUAGUGGCGGCAAAAGGAGAGUCCUUCGAGGGAAAGUUAAGGAUUUGUAUUAUGUCUUUCUUGAAUUGCCCUGGAUUUGUUCUGUAGCUUUUCAUGGGUUUUUUCCCCCCACCACUGGCAUCUGGAUGCAAGGUGCCACAUAAAUAUAAGAUGCUAUUUACAGUCGUGAGGUGGGAUGGGAAAUGACACAAUAAAUCAUUCACUCUUGGAAGCCAAACCAAUUACAUAAAGUUCCAGAGCUGGUAGUAAAGAUUUCCUGACAAGCAGGUAAGAUCACCUGGAGCUCCAGCAAUGCUAUGGAAAGUCAGUCAGUCACUGAGAGUCCUGCUGAAGUCAGAAUGGUGAAAGGAGGGGAUGGACAUUGUCAUCUCUGCACCAUUGAAACCCAAACAAGGACUCCCUCAUCCGUGGUCUUAUUUCUAAAUUGUUUGGCAGAAGGCAUGCCCAUGCUGAUCGAACUCAUGCACACAAUGUCACCGUUAAGGUCCUCAAUUUCAAACAGCCACACUAGAGCACCCUGUGUCAUUCUCUUGAGUGUCUGUCUCUCCUUCAAAAGCCAUCCUCGCUCCCCUGUUUUGAAGAGGCUCACGAGAGGGGCGCAGGGUGGAAACUCUCAGUUUCCUCCUUUAAAGCAAGUUUCGGCAAAAGGGAAAAACAAACACACGCAAAAAUUGUGGACACAAGCAGGGUAUUCUACUGUAAGUUUACCAUUGGAUGGAUGGCUUAUCUGGAUCGCUACUCUCUGGGUUGGAAGGUGUAUUAAUCUGAAGGCACGCCGCAGUUCCAUGGCCGUAUUCUCUGACCGGCAUGUAUGGUGGAAACACAGCGUGAAUAGAGAAGAGUUGGAGAAGCCCUGAUACCAGCUUUUUCAGAUUAGUAUGUAGGUGGGGUAGACCCGGGCAUAGAAAAUUGUGAUUACUUGCUACUGACUUCAAUAAUUGCACUAUAACCUCCUAAAAGCAUCCUAUUCCUCAUGCUCCAGUGGAGCUGAUCUGGACCCGAAAUGAAGAAGUAGUUCUUGUCAGACUUAUUUUUAAAGCCAGCGUGAGAUUGGCAGAAUUUGGCAAGGUUGGUUCAAAGGCAAUUGUGAAUUUCAAGAAAAAAACUUUUUAAGAAUUUCUCCCUGUAGGGGGGAAUAAAGAGUAUAAGUCUUUUUUAGUUAAUACUAUAGUGUGUGCCAUUUGACGUCUCCUCCUCUCGCCACGGCUUUGUUUGAUCUUUAUGUAUAUUUGACAUGUAAUCUUUGAUUUUGUUUAAUCUUGAAAAGGAGAUGUUUGGACAGGAGGAAAAAAAGGAAUAUGGGUAGAAAUUACUUUUGAAAUAUACUUGGCUGGAUGGAGGGGAGAGUAUUUCACUGAAUCAAACUGGAAGCAUUCCCAACACUGGGUGGAUAAAUCUCAUUUUAGUGUAGUAUUCAUACAUAGAUAUAUGUUUAUCUAUCUCUAUAUAUAAUGUUUUUCUCUAUCUCACAAUCUGAGAUGAUUUGUGUGAACGUGUGCUCUGAAAAUUAGGUGAUCAUAAUCACCACAGACUGAUGAUCUCAGCACCCAUGAAAUAUAUGCAGGGGUUUUGUGCUGGUUGUUUGAAGUUCCCAUGUUUCCUUCAGAGCUGCUAGCUGAGCCACUCUGUGUCAGAGCCAUUCUGUUACUGAGUGGAGAGUUUCCUAAUUACGAGGCCCCACACUUGACCUGACAUCAUUCUUUUGGGUGUCAUCCCAAAGUCUGUUAGCACCAGCCUGUUUUCUUUUUUUAAAAAAAAAAAACAAAACACCUGGGGAUUUUAGUCUUGUCAAGAGGCUCGUUUUGGUUGGCUCCGUCACUCCAAGGUUUGUAAACAUCUCUUUUCACUUUUGAGAUUGCUGCUGUGAAGGCAGCAAGAGAACCACUAUUCUUGGACACGUUUGGCUUCUGGGGGCUGUGCUGCUAAUUUGUUCCCCCACGGCACCCUCUCUGAGCUGCCUAAGCAUAUGUGGUGUGGGCCUGGGGAUUCUUGCCCCUGCCCUUGGGUCUGUUCACUGAGGCAAGCCAUCUUCUGUGGAGUGGGCUGGUGGAUUAGAAUCUAGCACUAUGAUUAGAGAGGGGCCCUUGUGAGGG